rnacentral:rRNA from 1 species
CAGCAGUCGCCACGGGAAUACGGAGGGGGCUAGCGUUGUUCGGAAUUACUGGGCGUAAAGCGCACGUAGGCGGCUUUGUAAGUUAGAGGUGAAAGCCCGGAGCUCAACUCCGGAAUUGCCUUUAAGACUGCAGAGCUAGCAGGUGAGAGAGGUGAGUGGAAUUCCGAGUGUAGAGGUGAAAUUCGUAGAUAUUCGGAAGAACACCAGUGGCGAAGGCGACUGACUGGACAAGUAUUGACGCUGAUGCACGAAAGCUAGGGGAGCAAACAGGAUUAGAUACCCCCGUAGUCCCUGUCUCUUAUAC